rnacentral:rRNA from 1 species
GAUGAACGCUAGCGGCAGGCUUAAUACAUGCAAGUCGUGGGGCAGCAGGACUGUAGCCAUACAGUUGCUGGCGACCGGCAAACGGGUGCGGAACACGUACGCAGCUUACCCUGAACUGGGGGAUAGCCCGGGGAAACCCGGAUUAAACCCCGUAAUAUAAUGGAGUGGCAUCACUUUAUUAUUAAAGCUCCGGCGGUUCGGGAUGGGCGUGCGGCUGAUUAGGUAGUUGGUUGAGGUAACGGCUCACCAAGCCUACGAUCAGUAACUGGCGUGAGAGCACGACCAGUCACACGGGCACUGAGGCCCGGACCCGACUCGUACGGGGGGCAGCAGUAUGGAAUAUUGGGCAAUGGAGGCUAAUCCGGCCCAGCCAUGCCGGGUGGGGGAGGAAGGCCCUCGGGGUUGUAAACUUCUUUUAUAGGGGACGAAACCUGUGAAUUCUUACGCAGUUGACGGUACCCAAGGAAUAAGCACCGGCUAACUCCGUG